GAUGAAGGUUUUCGGAUCGUAAAACUCUGUUGUUAGGAGAAAAACAAGUACCGUUCAAAUAGGGCGGUACCUUGACGGUACCUAACCAAAAAGCCACGGCUAACUACGUGCCACCACCCGCGGUAAUACUUAGGUGGCAAGCGUUGUCCGGAAUUAUUGGGCGUAAAGCGCGCGCAGGCGGUUUCUUAAUUCUGAUGUGAAAGCCCCCGGCUCAACCGGGGAGGGUCAUUGGAAACUGGGGAACUUGAGUGCAGAAAAGGAAAGUGGAAUUCCACGUGUAGCGGUGAAAUGCUUAGAGAUGUGAAGGAACACCAGUGCCAAAGGCAACUCUCUGGUCUGUAACUGACGCUAAGGCGCG
rnacentral:rRNA from 1 species